rnacentral:rRNA from 1 species
GGCUCAGGAUGAACGCUAGCGGCAGGCUUAAUACAUGCAAGUCGAGGGGCAGCAUGACUGUAGCAAUACAGUUGAUGGCGACCGGCAAACGGGUGCGGAACACGUACAGAACCUUCCUUCGAGCGGGGAAUAGCCCAGAGAAAUUUGGAUUAAUACCCCAUGGUACAACGGAGUGGCAUCACUUUGUUGUUAAAGAUUUAUCACUUGAAGAUGGCUGUGCGGCUGAUUAGGUAGUUGGCGGGUAACGGCCCACCAAGCCUGCGAUCAGUAACUGGUGUGAGAGCACGACCAGUCACACGGGCACUGAGACACGGGCCCGACUCCUACGGGAGGCAGCAGUAAGGAAUAUUGGUCAAUGGACGAAAGUCUGAACCAGCCAUGCCGCGUGGAGGAUGAAGGUCCUCUGGAUUGUAAACUUCUUUUAUAUGGGACGAAAAAAGGGUUUUCUAACUCGUCUGACGGUACCAUAUGAAUAAGCACCGGCUAACUCCGUG